UCAAUGAUCAGAACUAGUAAUUAUACCCCAGUGCUGUGGCAGCUGUUGUUGUGUUUUAGGAUUGUGGGUGAAGAUGAUGGCGGCAGACUAUAUUCUCCCCCAGAGGAACAGAGGAACAGUGUUUCCCCAGCGACUACACAGCAGGCUGUAUGUGAGCUUCAGAAAGCCAGGGAGAAUAGACUGUAAACUCAUCGGCCCAGAGACACCUUGCUUCUGCACACACAGGCACUUCCUGCUCUGGGUUCCGGAGCCCCUACACCUGUGGGUGUGGCCAUCUUAGCUCCGCCCACCAGACACUGGUGAAGACUAGGGUGGAACGGGAGGCCCGGGUCGGCAAUGAGUUUGUAUACGCAGCCAUGGGGUAUAAUGGGGUUCAGCUCCCUGGCUGACAGGUACACUGGAUGACAGCGGGGCAGGAGCAUGUGUAUGAGAAAGCCUGUGGACCUACAGUACAGCUGAGAGCUCUGUGACCAGGGCUCUCUCUGACGUGAGGACCAGAGAGGAGGAACACAUGGCCUACUUCGAGAGACGCUACCAGGAGAGGGAGAGGAGUGCAAUUCUCUAAUGAAACACUGGAGUGCAGCAGAGAACUGUAGAACGCAGCUGUAAAGAUGGAAAAGAAGUGUAGACCAGAGUAGAGAUAAAAGGAAGCAGAGAGAAUGAGAGAAUGCCAAGAGUGUGCAAAGCUGUCAUCAAAGCAAAAGAGUGGCUAUUUU